rnacentral:rRNA from 161 species
UGAACCUGCGGAAGGAUCAUUG